ensembl:snoRNA
AUCUUUUUGUAGUUCAUGAGCAUGAUGAUUGGGUGUUCAUGCACAUGCGUGAGAUGUGCUACUCUCGAACCUUGUUACGAUGUCAGCACAUUACCAGUCUGACC